GGCUGGGUAGCUCAAUCGGUAGAGCACCGGACUCAUAAGCCGGCGGUUGUGGGUUCGAGCCCCACCCCAGCCA
rnacentral:tRNA from 1 species